rnacentral:rRNA from 1 species
ACAAGCAGCCAUAUCGCCCUGCAGCCCAAGACUGGUUGCCCACUGAAGCUAAGCAAGGGUUGAGUCUGGUCAGUACCUGAAUGGGAGACCUCCUGAGAAAAUUAGGUUGUUGCUGCA